rnacentral:ncRNA from 1 species
AAGUCGUAAAAAAGGAGAGCUGGUUAACACUUAUUUUGACAGAGAUGGAAGAGACUGUUUUAU